rnacentral:rRNA from 1 species
UGAGGAACAUGACCUUCGGCGGGGGAUAGCCGGCCCAACGGCCGGGUAAUACCGCGUACGACCACAUGGGGACAUCCCUGAGUGGUGAAAGCAGCAAUGCGCCGAUGGAGUGCCUCGCGGCCUAUCAGCUUGUUGGUGAGGUAAUAGCUCACCAAGGCGAUGACGGGUAGCCGGCCUGAGAGGGUGACCGGCCAUACGUGGGACUGAGACGACGGCCCAGACCUCCGUAGGACGG